rnacentral:rRNA from 1 species
AUUGAACGCUGGCGGCAUGCCUUACACAUGCAAGUCGAACGGCAGCGCGGACUUCGGUCUGGCGGCGAGUGGCGAACGGGUGAGUAAUACAUCGGAACGUACCCUGUUGUGGGGGAUAACUAGUCGAAAGAUUAGCUAAUACCGCAUACGACCUGAGGGUGAAAGUGGGGGACCGUAAACGGCCUCAUGCAGCAGUAGCGGCCGAUGUCUGAUUAGCUAGUUGGUGGGGUAAAGGCCCACCAAGGCGACGAUCAGUAGCUGGUCUGAGAGGACGAUCAGCCACACUGGGACUGAGACACGGCCCAGACUCCUACGGGAGGCAGCAGUGGGGAAUUUUGGACAAUGGGGGCAACCCUGAUCCAGCAAUGCCGCGUGUGUGAAGAAGGCCUUCGGGUUGUAAAGCACUUUUGUCCGGAAAGAAAUCGCGCUGGUUAAUACCUGGCGUGGAUGACGGUACCGGAAGAAUAAGCACCGGCUAACUACGUG